rnacentral:rRNA from 1 species
AACGAACGCUGGCGGCAUGCCUAACACAUGCAAGUCGAACGAGACCUUCGGGUUUAGUGUCGCACGGGUGCGUAAGGCGUGGGAACCCGCGAUUAAGCUCGGAAUAACUUCCCGAAAGGGGUGCUAAAACCGGAUAAUGUCUUCGGACCAAGGAUUUAUCGGCUUUGGAUGUGGCAGCGUUGGAUUGGCUAGUUGGUAGGGUAAAAGCCUACCAAGGCGACGAUCCAUAGCUGGUGUGAGAGGAUGAUCAGCCACACUGGGACUGAGACACGGCCCAGACGCCUACGGGAGGCAGCAGUGGGUAAUAUUGGACAAUGGGCGAAAGGCUGAUCCAGCAAUGCCGGGAGAGUGGUGAAGGCGUUAGAGUUGUAAAGCAGUUUUACCCGAGAUGAUAGUGACAGUACCUGGAGAAUAAGCACCGGCUAACUCCGUG